GUGGGGAAUCUUGCGCAAUGGGCGAAAGCCUGACGCAGCCAUGCCGCGUGAAUGAUGAAGGUCUUAGGAUUGUAAAAUUCUUUCACCGGGGACGAUAAUGACGGUACCCGGAGAAGAAGCUCCGGCUAACUUCGUGCCAGCAGCCGCGGUAAUACGAAGGGGGCUAGCGUUGCUCGGAAUUACUGGGCGUAAAGGGCGCGUAGGCGGACAGCUUAGUCAGAGGUGAAAGCCCAGGGCGCAACCUUGGAAUUGCCUUUGAUACUGGCUGUCUUGAGUUUGGGAGAGGUGAGUGGAACUCCGAGUGUAGAGGUGAAAUUCGUAGAUAUUCGGAAGAACACCAGUGGCGAAGGCGACUCGCUGGCCCAAUACUGACGCUGAGGCGCGAAAGCGUGGGGAGCAAACAGGAUUAGAAACCCGAGUAGUCC
rnacentral:rRNA from 1 species